rnacentral:rRNA from 1 species
GUGUCAGCAGCCGCGGUACUACGGAGGGUGCAAGCGUUAAUCGGAAUUACUGGGCGUAAAGCGUGUGUAGGCGGUCUAUUAAGUCGGAUGUGAAAGCCCCGGGCUUAACCUGGGAAUUGCAUUCGAAACUGGUAGGCUUGAAUUUGGUAGAGGGAAGUGGAAUUCCGGGUGUAGCGGUGAAAUGCGUAGAUAUCCGGAGGAACACCAGUGGCGAAUGCGGCUUCCUGGACCAAAAUUGACGCUGAGGCACGAAAGCGUGGGUAGCAAACAGGAUUAGAUACCCUGGUAGUCCACGCCGUAAACGAUGGGUGCUAGAUGUUGGGGGCCUUUGGCUUCCGGUGUCGCAGCUAACGCGUUAAGCACCCCGCCUGGGGAGUACGGCCGCAAGGUUAAAACUUAAAGGAAUUGACGGGG